rnacentral:sRNA from 1 species
CCAAGGGAGAUAACUUGCCCUCUUCUCUUGUAAAGGAAAUGAUGGAGCUCUAGCUAUUAUCCUUGGCUAGCAAAGAUGGCUUUAAUCACAUGACCAUAUCAUUAAGGAUGUCACAUGACCUUUUUUUCCGCUGGCAGCAACUGUACAAUUAUUCUUCCACCCCAAUUUGUUAAUUGUGUAAGGAUUUGUUAAACUGCGCAAAUUGUGUAAUGAUUUAAACUGCUGUAUAUGGCAUGUUUUUUUUACUGCUAAAUUAGGUGUCAGAUUGCCCAAAAUUGCCUCUUUUAAUUUUUGUUAGUUUAAUUUGUUUUAUAUAAAAUAGAAAAGAAAGAACUCCUACCUGACUGAUGUAGUUUUGUGGCAGUGAUCUUCUAAUGCUCCAGAUACUGUUAUAUUGGAUAAAAUAGCUAAACGUGCUCAGUUCGUUUGUAGAUACAAUUUCAAUAAGUUCAAGAUUAUUAAGAUUUUUAUUUUAAUACAAGAGGUGUAUUGAUACAUACUGUAAACCAAAUUGAACUGUUGACAUUUACUACAUUUCAUUUAAGUCUUUUUUCACAAAAGGACAUUUGAAAGUUUGUAUGUUUUCUUUAGUUAAUGUUUUUUGUUAAAUUCUGUUAUAGAAAACCAUUGAUCAUUACAUUUUAAUCGUAACAUUUUACCAAGUGACUUGAAGCCAUUUUUUAUGAACACUGCUAUUUUUUAUUCAUUUGACUUUGAGUAUCCAAUUAUUCUUUCUGCCAUGCAUGAAAUGGAUACAUUGUGAGCAUGUGAAACUCCUGUAAAUUAUUGAAAGUGUGCGUUUGUUAUGAGAUCUGCUGAAUGAGAUGAACAUGUUUUUAAAUAUUAAUACCUACAAAAUCUGUAUCAACUUUCUAUACUGUAAAAUUGUCAAAUAAAAUACAUUGUAAAUAAU